rnacentral:lncRNA from 1 species
AACUGAGAAAUUUGCCUUUUUGACCUUUUGUUGGAUGGUAACUGUACUUUCACUACAGGUUUAACAGGACUAUGUGCAUCUUAUAACUGGCAUUCAUCUCCGGCUCACACCGGCCAUCAGUGGACCUGGGGCACGGAACGAUAACGCAUUACCUAGGGUUUCCUACUUCAGAGCUCGAGGUCUCGGAAAAUAGAGAAAGGAUGUCUGGGGCACAGGCAAUAGGACUCAGGAAGUUCACCGCAGGGCUAGGAGGAAGAUGAAGAGGCAAAAGGCAGCGGCCAGCUUGGGAAAGGGAGACAGACUUUAAAUCCGGAAAAAGGAAAUCUCGACCUUAGGUCUACAGUCACCGCUCUGGAUCCGGUGCUGCUCCACAACGCUCGCAUCUGCAAAUAGCUGAGUGCCCGAUUCCGCCCGGGCCGGCCGAGGGGGCCGCAGCCCAGCGGUCGGAGGCACGGGCACAAGCAGCACAGCCUGCAGGCCGCCAUGACACCCAGAGCGUGGAAGGCCUGGGCAGCGCCUCAUUGGCCAGCACUCCUGUGGGCGGAGUCGGACGCAGUUUCGUUUCCGUGGAGCCUGCAAACUGCCGGGAAAGCAAUCCUUGCAGGCUUUCUGUAAUUGCCAGAGUCAAACCACCAGAAUGCGUUUCUUUCAGUCAGCUUUUAUUCCCCCA